rnacentral:rRNA from 1 species
CUGGCGGCGUGCUUAACACAUGCAAGUCGAACGAUGAACCGGCUUCGGUCGGGGAUUAGUGGCGAACGGGUGAGUAACACGUGGGCAAUCUGCCCUUCACUCUGGGACAAGCCCUGGAAACGGGGUCUAAUACCGGAUAUGACACGGGGUCGCAUGAUCUCCGUGUGGAAAGCUCCGGCGGUGAAGGAUGAGCCCGCGGCCUAUCAGCUUGUUGGUGAGGUAAUGGCUCACCAAGGCGACGACGGGUAGCCGGCCUGAGAGGGCGACCGGCCACACUGGGACUGAGACACGGCCCAGACUCCUACGGGAGGCAGCAGUGGGGAAUAUUGCACAAUGGGCGAAAGCCUGAUGCAGCGACGCCGCGUGAGGGAUGACGGCCUUCGGGUUGUAAACCUCUUUCAGCAGGGAAGAAGCGAGAGUGACGGUACCUGCAGAAGAAGCGCCGGCUAACUACGUGCCAGCAGCCGCGGUAAUACGUAGGGCGCGAGCGUUGUCCGGAAUUAUUGGGCGUAAAGAGCUCGUAGGCGGCUUGUCACGUCGGAUGUGAAAGCCCGGGGCUUAACCCCGGGUCUGCAUUCGAUACGGGCAGGCUAGAGUUCGGUAGGGGAGAUCGGAAUUCCUGGUGUAGCGGUGAAAUGCGCAGAUAUCAGGAGGAACACCGGUGGCGAAGGCGGAUCUCUGGGCCGAUACUGACGCUGAGGAGCGAAAGCGUGGGGAGCGAACAGGAUUAGAUACCCUGGUAGUCCACGCCGUAAACGUUGGGAACUAGGUGUGGGCG